AUGAGGAAAAUAAUAGAUGAGAUGACACUAAUCAAAGUGUUAAUGUCUCUCCCAGCGCAUCUUCGCGAACAGAUCAGGGAUCUGCUACCACUGCGGGGGAAGCUGGUGCUUGUGUCAGAACAGUGUGAAAAGAAGAUUCUGGAUCAGAGAGUACAGGAAAGAGAUGAGAUCCGAGCUCUGAAGCAAGAGUGUCAGCGUCUGCAGUGUGUCAUUGAGAGUAUGAGAGGACAACAGACUGCAGAUUCAGAGGAUGAAUUUGAGGAUCCUGUGGUGGUGAAAAUGGCUUUGCAGAUGUGUAGAGAGGAUCUUACCAAAGUCCAAGUUGAGCUUAACCGCCUGCAAGCUGAAUACAGUGAUGUGGUCCCACGAUAUCCUAAAUCAUAUGCAUGAGGAGACUUUAAUGAAGCUGAAAACCUUACAGACAGACUUUGACCAAUUAAAGUCUGAGUAUGACACACUGCUCGAGGUUCAUCGUCAGUCAGCACCUGCUGUGUUACACUCCAAUCAGUCUGUGCUGCAACAUGGCUCAGAUAACAAACACACUGUUACAACUCCCAGACCAAACUGGGAGCAAUGUUCAGACAUACAAGAGCUCUUUGAAGGUCAAUCCAGCCAAAAGAAGCUGGAGAUUUUGCUACAGCAGAUGAAUGGCCAAAAUGAGUUCUUCACUUAA
ensembl:lncRNA